rnacentral:rRNA from 1 species
GUGGGGAAUAUUGCACAAUGGGCGAAAGCCUGAUGCAGCAACGCCGCGUGAGGGACGACGGCCUUCGGGUUGUAAACCUCUUUUAGUAGGGAAGAAGCGAAAGUGACGGUACCUGCAGAAAAAGCACCGGCUAACUACGUGCCAGCAGCCGCGGUAAUACGUAGGGUGCAAGCGUUAUCCGGAAUUAUUGGGCGUAACGAGCUCGUAGGCGGUCUGUCGCGUCUGCUGUGAAAACUGGAGGCUCAACCUCCAGCCUGCAGUGGGUACGGGCAGACUAGAGUGCGGUAGGGGGUAUUGGAAUUCCUGGUGUAGCGGUGGAAUGCGCAGAUAUCAGGAGGAACACCGAUGGCGAAGGCAGAUCUCUGGGCCGUAACUGACGCUGAGGAGCGAAAGCGUGGGGAGCGAACAGGAUUAGAAACCCUGGUAGUCC